rnacentral:rRNA from 1 species
GAUGAACGCUGGCGGCGUGCCUAAUACAUGCAAGUCGAGCGAACAGACGAGGAGCUUGCUCCUCUGACGUUAGCGGCGGACGGGUGAGUAACACGUGGAUAACCUACCUAUAAGACUGGGAUAACUUCGGGAAACCGGAGCUAAUACCGGAUAAUAUAUUGAACCGCAUGGUUCAAUAGUGAAAGACGGUUUUGCUGUCACUUAUAGAUGGAUCCGCGCCGCAUUAGCUAGUUGGUAAGGUAACGGCUUACCAAGGCAACGAUGCGUAGCCGACCUGAGAGGGGGAAUCGCACACACUGAACUGAGAAACGGUCCCGAAUCCCCAGGGAGGGAGGCGGAGGGGAAUUUGCCCAAUGGGGGAAAAGCCUAAGGGGGAAACGCCGGGGGGGGGUGAAGGGUUUCGGAAUGGAAAAACUUUUUAUUAGGGAAAAAAAAAAUGGGAAAGAAAUGAGGCCCGUUUGGGCGGAACCAAACAAAAAAGCACGGGCAAACUACGG